AUUGAACGCUGGCGGCAUGCUUUACACAUGCAAGUCGAACGGUAACAGGGUGCUUGCACCGCUGACGAGUGGCGAACGGGUGAGUAAUGCGUCGGAACGUGCCGAGUAGUGGGGGAUAACGCAGCGAAAGUUGUGCUACUACCGCAUACGUACUGAGGUAGAAAGUGGGGGACCUUCGGGCCUCACGCUAUUCGAGCGGCCGACGUCUGAUUAGCUAGUAGGUGAGGUAAAGGCUCACCUAGGCGACGAUCAGUAGCGGGUCUGAGAGGAUGAUCCGCCACACUGGUACUGAGACACGGCCCAGACUCCUACGGGAGGCAGCAGUGGGGAAUUUUGGACAAUGGGCGAAAGCCUGAUCCAGCCAUGCCGCGUGUCUGAAGAAGGCCUUCGGGUUGUAAAGGACUUUUGUCGGGGAGGAAAUCCCCAGCGUUAAUACCGCUGGGGGAUGACAGUACCUGAAGAAUAAGCACCGGCUAACUACGUGCCAGCCGCCGCAGUAAGAC
rnacentral:rRNA from 1 species